rnacentral:lncRNA from 1 species
CGGGGCGUCGAGGAGGAAGCGCUUGGGGAGAUCGGGGUUGGCGAGGAAGAGCCGCCCAAACGCCACCAGGUCCGUGUAGCCGGAGGCCACGGCUUUGUUGCCCUCCUCGCGGUCGUAGCCGCCGGCGGCGAUGAAGGUCCCCUGGAAGGCCUUUCUGAUGGGGAGGAGUCCCUGGCGGAGCUUCCGGCGGCCCUCGACGAUGGCCAUCCGCGGCUCCACGACGUGGCAGUAGAGCAGACCCAGCUUGCUCACGGCCUUCGCCAUGUACACGCCGAGGGCCUCCGGGUCGGAGUCCCAGCUCUCCAUGUAGUCGACGAAGGGGGAGAGGCGAAUGCCGACUCGGUCGGCCCCGAUCUCGUCGACGACGGCCUGGACCACCUCCAGAGGGAAGCGGCACCGGUUCUCCAGGCUGCCGCCGUAUUCAUCCGUCCUGUCGU